AUUGAAACUCCGAUUCCCGUAAGAUCACCAAAGUUAAGCCACGUCAAGCCUGGUCAAUACCCAAAUGGGUGACUGUUUGGGAAUACUAGAUGCUGUAAG